GAUGAACGCUGGCGGCGUGCCUAAUACAUGCAAGUCGAGCGAACAGACGAGGAGCUUGCUCCUCUGACGUUAGCGGCGGACGGGUGAGUAACACGUGGAUAACCUACCUAUAAGACUGGGAUAACUUCGGGAAACCGGAGCUAAUACCGGAUAAUAUAUUGAACCGCAUGGUUCAAUAGUGAAAGACGGUUUUGCUGUCACUUAUAGAUUGAUCCGCGCCGCAUUAGCUAGUUGGUAAGGUAACGGCUUACCAAGGCAACGAUGCGUAGCCGACCUGAGAGGGUGAUCGGCCACACUGGAACUGAGACACGGUCCAGACUCCUACGGGAGGCAGCAGUAGGGAAUCUUCCGCAAUGGGCGAAAGCCUGACGGAGCAACGCCGCGUGAGUGAUGAAGGUCUUCGGAUCGUAAAACUCUGUUAGUAGGGAAGAACAAAUGUGUAAGUAACUAUGCACGUCUUGACGGUACCUAAUCAGAAAGCCACGGCUAACUACGUG
rnacentral:rRNA from 1 species